rnacentral:lncRNA from 8 species
UCCACUUCAUAAUUGUGUCCCACUUGUUGUUGAUUCUUCACAAAAAAAUACAGUUUUAUAUCUUUAUGUUUGAAGCCUGAAAUGUGGCAAAAGGUCGAAAAGUUCAAGGGGGCCGAAUACUUUCGGAAGGCACUGUAUAUACAAUUAAAGGGAUAGUUCACUGAAAUAUUUUUUUGUAUUUUGUUCAUUAGUCCACCCACAAAAUUGUGCAUGUCAGCAGUCAAGUUUCCAAGAUAGAGCACUUUCAGUACAGAGCAAAAACUGUAGUGAUGAUGAUGAUGCAGUUUGAAUUGAGUGAACGAUCCCUUUUAAAUAAAAAAUAUAUACUAAAUAAAAACAAACUCAUUUCUACCUCCAUGCUGUACAGAGGGGGAUCUGUUACUGGCCAGCUGUGCUCAGGAUUGCCUGAUCCAUGUGUGGAGGCUGGUUGCCAAAUCUGGGACUGAGGGAAACACACAGGAUGAACACACCAUUAGGAUGACUGAGGACGUCUUUAAACUGACAGACACCGAUGCCUCCUCAGUGUUUGCAGUGACGCUAGAGUCAGUCCUGGCCGGACACGAGAACAAGGUCUAUGGAGUCCACUGGCAGACCCUUGCCAUCAAAGGUACUGUACUGUCAACCUAUACACCAUUCAGUCCCCAGAUCAGACUUUUCUUAUUUCACUGUGAUGUGGUGGUGCCAUACCACUCAAUGAUUUCAUGGUGUUGGAGUGAUUUGUUUGAUGGGCCUACCAUACACCCAUGAAAUCAGAAAGGGUGACCCCUAAACUCUUUUAUUGGUUCACAUCACUCACUGUCUGUCUGCCUGCUGCAGUUCUGUCAUGAUGUUUUACCCAUCCAACCUGCAUAUGCUGUAUUGUGGUUCCGGGGGGUUUCCCCUAGGUACAAAUCUAGGAUCCACUUCCCCUGCCCCAAUCCUAAACUUAGUCAUUAGUGGGGGAAAUGCACAAACUGACCCCAGAUCAGCUUCUAGGGGCAACUCCCCCUACAGGAUGUGACCAGCAUCAGUCUCUGAGCCUGCUCUCUGUGUCUAUGGACAAGACCAUGAUCUUGUGGGCUUCAGAGGAGGGCUAGGGGGUGUGGGUGGAGCAACGGGAGGCUUCGAGCUGUGUCCCAAAGGGCACACUAUUCCCUAUAUAGUGCACAACUUUGGCCUGUCUUAAGUAGUGCACUCUAUAGGGAAUAGAGUGCUGUUUGGGACACAACCAUCUUUCCUUUCACAGCUUUGUCAUUUUUCAAAUCCUACACUGUUAAAGGUCAACACCCCUGUCUCUGUCUCUUGCUGUCUGUCUCUCUGUCUCGUCUGUCUUCAGCAGCUGUUGUGAUGAAAUGAAAUGUUGAAAUGUCAUCAAGGCCUGCUCUCUUUUCUCUCUCUGUCCUUCUCUCUCUCGUCAUCAUGCCCCCGCUGUGUUUCAUUGGUGUGCCUGGAUACAGCCCUUAGCCCUACCGCAACCCGCUGAGGUACCUUAUUGCUAUUAUAAACUGGUUACCAACUUAAUUAGAACAGUAAACAAGUAAUAUUGUGUCAUACCUGUGGUAUAUUUUCUGUUAUCCAGGACCCAAACUACCCAGUUUAUAAUUUGAUUCUGUCACUGAUGUGGUGUUGGAUUGUAGAAAUGGCAUUGUUAGAGGCUGAUGCCAUUAAUCGACAGUUCUACACUGUAGGUUGGGCUUGUAUGGGUUGGUUUCCUCCCUGUCUCCUUGUUAUCAGUCACAAGCCAGAGAGCGCCGACAGGGGAAGAAUGGAUAACGAAAGACAUACCAGAUCCCCCCCCCCCCCAACCCCUCUCUUGGAGCACAGAACAUCUGCUGUUUUCAUCAGUGCUGGGCUAAAUUUAAGAGAAGUGUGGAAGUUGUAAAUUCCUCCCCAUCUGCCCUGAGUUUCAGGAGUGACAGGUGUAUUCUGGUAGAGACCUUAGAUAACCUUCCCCAGUAACAGCGCCACUGUCCACCCCACGGUCGCUGUUAUGGAGCUCUCCAGCUCCUAAAAAAACUUAAAUUAGUUACCUCUGGUUCGUUCAGCUAUUCCUAUGGGGAAAGAAUCGGGUUUUUGGAUAAACGCCGAAAAUAAGGUCAGAGGUUAACACAGGCUUAGGAGAUCUUUAUGUUUUGUUUUAUGAUAUAAUAUCAGUCAGUUAACAUGAUCUUUAGGAAUUAUGAAGCCUUUAUGUGCUUUGUGCUUUUUUAAAUGACAUAAAUGCUAAAAUAUUCAGCAAAGUGACGUUAGCUGAUGAAGAUUAUCUCAUAGACCAAAAUGUAUAAGAUCUUUUAAGCCGGUGUUUACCACAGACCUUAUUUUCGGCUUCCUCCAAAAACUCCAUUAAUUUCCCCAUAGGCUUUGUCCAGCGAACCAUGGCGUUGGUAGUGCCUACAAAAAGACAGCAUUACUAUUUCUCUCUUUUUUUCAUUUUGUUUGACGAAGCAAAGAUGGGGAGCUGGGGGGGUGCUAGAGAGUGCUAUGGAAUAUAUGUGUUUUGUUAGAGCGCCACUCAAUUUUGAAAUCAUUUCAUAUUUAUCUUAAUCUCUCAUGACUUAUAACUUCAAACAUUGUCUGGCAAUAUGACAAAAGGAAAAGGCAUCAAAAAAGGGGGCGCUCAACAAGAUAAUUUGGAUGAGACAGAAAACAAACCAAUGUCAACAUCGCCAACCCACGAGCUCCCCACAGAACCUUCUCCAAGUGACUGACUGGCCGUUAUAAACUCACUAAGAAAAAAGGUGGACACAUGGCUGGCUGAUAUCUCAAAGAGUAUUAGGACUUUGUCUGAAACUGUGAAGGCAACCAAGGGCAGGGUGCAUGAGUUUGAGCAGACAGCAGUUCAUCACGAGGCCAGGCUACAAGACAUUGAGGAACAGUGCAGAACAAAA